AAUUAGGGUUCCAACCAAAUUUUAAUCCUUGCUUCUCACCCACUCCCCUAUGUCUCACCAAAUUCUCGUAAUUAGGGUUCCUAAUCUCCAUGGAAAUCCACUCGUAGGAUACAAAUCCUCCACUCUUUCUUGAUUUCCGCACUUCAUUUAACUGUAUUGUCAACUAAAAUCACUUUGAUUUCACCGUUCCGCACUUGAUUUAACUGUAUUGUCAACUAAAAUCACUUUGAUUUCACCGAUUUCGAGCGCCCCUGAUAGGUGGAGAUUGGUGAAGGCUCAUGGUAAGGUCGUGCUUCCGACUGAUGAUGACAUGGGGAACAGUGAAGUCGGGCAUAAUGCUCUUGGUGCCGGACGAAUUGAAAACUGUAAUAGCGACUUCUUCCUCUGUGGCAUCGCCAGUAAAUAGGUUGAAUUGGUGACUUCGUUUGGCAUCGCAUCUCUUCUCUGAUGAGUACCAGCACCGAGCACCCAACGUUGUUUCUAGUGGAUAAUGUGUAAUCAAUUUGUGCCCUGGACAUCCACAUGGAUGAAUGGGUGUUCAUUAAGGCUGGAACUUAUGCAUGAAGGGAAUAUUAGAAGCAUAUGGUGUAUUUGGCUAUAAGCCUAUAAAUAAUGCUCUUGUUAUCUCUCACAGUGUCUUUGGCUGUAAAGGGCAAAACUUUAUUAAUGCUCUUGUUAAAAACAUUUUUUAAACCAACCUAACCCGACCCUAAACCCGUUCUGGCCCAAACCCGUUUCGACCCGAACCCAAAUAACCCUUUUUUUAAUUAACCCAUUUUGACCCGAACCCAUUUCGACCCGAACCCGUUUUGACCCAUGACCCGACCCGACCCGUUUGCCAGGUCUAAUUUUGCCAUGAGUUUUCGUUUCAAACUAACCAAAUUGUGUAUCUUGUAUCCUUUGAUAACUGGGGCUCAAUAAAGGUUUCUUCCAUGCCUUCAACAAUGUGUCGGUGAUGACAUGGUUAUGGUUAAGGUCAAUUCUCUUAAAGCAUGGAUUAGCACUACUAUUAUCUUUCAGUCUUGAAACUAGGGACGGCAAAACGGACCUGUUAGGUGGGUUAGAUAACAAGUCAAAAUGGGUAGAUUUUUAUGUCGCCAGAGGAUAAAGAGUGGCUCGAGAAGGAUAUUGAAGAUUGUGUUCGUUUCUCUCCGGGCAGACGUCAAAUUCCGUUUUAUGAGAAUGAAGAGUGGGUCAGGCAAUUCGGAGAGAAACUGUAAGUUGAAAUGCAAAGCGAAUUGUAUCAACAACAUUUUUGUUACAAACUACAUUUUCAUGGUUAUUGAUGAUACGGAGAAAGGUCGAUACCGUUAUGCGGGUCAGUGGAAACAUGGCAGAAUGCAUGGUUGCGGUGUUUUUGAACUCAAUGAACGAACCUAUUAUGGACGAUUUUACUUUGGAUACAUAUACACUUAAUAAAUGUGGUCAAAACAUUGUUUUUCUGGUACAGUGGUCCGAGAAGAGCGGGGUCCAUAUAGUGAUCCGCAGCAUCCCUACUUGUAUGAAGGAGAAGAUAUGUGGAUGGCCCCAGGCUUCAUCAAUCAGUUUUUUGAAGUCCCAGAUUACCGGAAAGCUUAUAUGGAAGACGUGGAUGAAGAACAACAAAUGUGGAUAAACUCGUUUUAUAAGGCCCCAUUAAGGUUACAUAUGCCAGCUGAGCUCGUAGUACACAUUAGAUGAUUUGAACAUGUAAUGCAUUCAACGCGCUCCACUGUAUAAUUUAAUCUGAUGAGUAGAGACAUCCGCCGCAACGCGCGGGCAUUCCUACUAGUAUCAAUAAUAUAAACCACAUUUAAUAAGAAACUUUGAAUAAAGAUUUUAUGUUCUCUUAUUACAGGUCAUGUAAAAGCUCUUCAAGCGUUACAUGGAACCAGUUGGCACGAGUGUUUUCUUGGUCUUUGGAU
rnacentral:lncRNA from 1 species